AGAGCAUGCUCUUCGGGGUUGUAGGACACUCUAUACGGAGUCAAAAAGGAAGACAGUAGGUGAAGGACCUGGAAAGGUCGGCCGAAGAAGGUGACAGCCCUGUAGCUGAAACUGUUUUCCCUCCAGAGUGGAUCCUGAGUACGGCGGGACACGUGAAACCCCGUCGGAAUCCGGGAGGACCAUCUCCCAAGGCUAAAUACUCCCUAGUGACCGAUAGUGAACCAGUACCGUGAGGGAAAGGUGAAAAGCACCCCGGAAGGGGAGUGAAAUAGAUCCUGAAACCGUAUGCCUACAAGUAGUCAGAGCCCGUUAACGGGUGAUGGCGUGCCUUUUGUAGAAUGAACCGGCGAGUUACGAUAACGCGCGAGGUUAAGCCGAUGAGGCGGAGCCGUAGCGAAAGCGAGUCUGAACAGGGCGUUCAGUGCGUUGUCGUAGACCCGAAACCAGGUGAUCUACCCAUGUCCAGGAUGAAGGUCAGGUAACACUGACUGGAGGUCCGAACCCACGCACGUUGAAAAGUGCGGGGAUGAGGUGUGGGUAGCGGUGAAAUGCCAAUCGAACCUGGAGAUAGCUGGUUCUCCCCGAAAUAGCUUUAGGGCUAGCCUCGAGGUUGAGAGUUCUGGAGGUAGAGCACUGAUUGGACUAGGGGCCCCCACAGGGUUACCGAAUUCAGUUAAACUCCGAAUGCCAGCAACUUAUACUCGGGAGUCAGACUGCGAGUGAUAAGAUCCGUAGUCAAGAGGGAAACAGCCCAGACCGCCAGCUAAGGUCCCAAAGUGUAUGUUAAGUGGAAAAGGAUGUGGCGCUGCCUAGACAGCUAGGAUGUUGGCUUAGAAGCAGCCACCAUUCAAAGAGUGCGUAAUAGCUCACUAGUCGAGUGGCGCCGCGCCGAAAAUGUAACGGGGCUAAACAUACCACCGAAGCUGCGGAUUCCGUAAGGAAUGGUAGGGGAGCGUUCCAAACCGCUGUGAAGCUGUACCGGAAGGAGCAGUGGAGCGUUUGGAAGUGAGAAUGCCGGUGUGAGUAGCGAAAAGAGGGGUGAGAAUCCCCUCCGUCGAAAGCCCAAGGUUUCCUGAGGAAGGCUCGUCCGCUCAGGGUUAGUCUGGACCUAAGCCGAGGCCGAAAGGCGUAGGCGAUGGAUAACAGGUUGAUAUUCCUGUACCGCCGAUCCACCGUUUGAACAAUGGGGGGACGCAGGAGGAUAGUGACGCAUGCGGAUGGAAGUGCAUGUGCAAGUUUCAAGA
rnacentral:rRNA from 1 species